rnacentral:rRNA from 1 species
AUUGAACGCUGGCGGCAGGCCUAACACAUGCAAGUCGAGCGGAGCGGCGGACGGGGGAGUAAUGCCUAGGAAUCUGCCUGGUAGUGGGGGAUAACGUCCGGAAACGGGCGCUAAUACCGCAUACUAUCAAAUGAGCCUCGGUAGGAUUAGCUAGUUGGACGGGUAAAGGCUUACCAAGGCGACGAUCCGUAACUGGUCUGAGAGGAUGAUCAGUCACACUGGAACUGAGACACGGUCCAGACUCCUACGUGAGGCAGCAGUGGGGAAUAUUGGACAAUGGGCGAAAGCCUGAUCCAGCCAUGCCGCGUGUGUGAAGAAGGUCUUCGGAUUGUAAAGCACUUUUGGUUGAGAGGCGGUACCUACAGAGUAAGCACCGGCUAACUACGUGCCAGCAGCCGCGGUAAUAC